rnacentral:misc_RNA from 1 species
UCUUAUUAUUCAUUAAGCAUGAAUAAAAAGUUCCUUAAGUUUAACAAAUCAAAUUUACGUCUAAAACUGGAUUUUUCACUUCAACAUGCAAAAUGUAAACUAAAGCUUUGUUUACAUAGCAAAGAAUUGUAAGUUCUGUAACUCGCUUUUUACCCAACGAAUGACAUUCAAAUUUUGGUUGUCUAUCAAAAAUGCUUUACUGGAGCAUUGUAAACAUUAAAAUCGGAAAAAUAAUGUUUGAGCCAAAUCGUGAUCAUGCCCCUUUAAGGCUGUAUGGGACCACUGUCGGUAUAAAGUGGUUUAAAAUACACUAUAAUCAGAAUACUUUCACUGUGUUAGAAUUUUCUAUACAAUAUUUGACAAAAAAUGUGUUUUAAACUUAUGACUGACAAGUUUGUAGUUAACGUUCUAGCCUAUUGAGAUACGCUUUUAGGUAGCAAUUAAGGAAAGAAAAGAGUUACAAAAUCAUUCUUGAUUUUUAUUGUCUAUUUCGAUAAAAGUACACCACAAUGUAGGUUUCCCUAACCACAAUUUAUCUAGUUUUUCUUUUUAAUUCAGACAUUCUAAUCGCAGUUUCCAUUAUGACAAACAAGUAAAUUGACCAUUGAUAUUAUAUGGUUUCUGGUAUUUUUAAUCAGUUAAUCAAAGAAAUCAUUGCUGCUGUCACAAUUCCUGUAAUGGCCAAAGCGAGGAUAGGGCAUUUUGCGGAGGCCCAAAUUCUGGAAUCCCUCGGUGUCGACAUGAUCGAUGAAUCUGAAGGUACAAUAUAUUCCGAAAGAAAAGAUACUUCUAUUUAGACUGUUCACUUGUCGAUUCUUGGUUUAACAGUUUUUAAGAAUUUUAUAACAAAAUUGCUCAUAUAUCAUAUGUAAUGUUGCAUUGCGGCAGCAACCCAAACUGCUACGUGUGGUAAUGGUGCGAGAAAUAUGAAAUUAGAGUAAAACAAAAAUAGUGGUGUUUGAAAGAACGUGUUGUUUUGUUCCUACUAGGAAGACUUAACUGCAGAACUGUAGCUUCAGGGGAAAAUUUGGGUUGACGGACCGUGAAGAUACAGUUCCAUCCAUACAAUAUAUUUAUUGCGCACAAAACGGUGCGCAUGGUUUUGGACCUUAAACCUAAUUUAGGAAUACAUUCUUUGAAAAUAUUAUUACCAAAAGAUUUCUGAGACAUUUUACCCUUGAUAUCAUAUCAUUACUUCACUUACCUCUGAAUAUCUUUUAAACACCCUCACCUUAAGCGAAGUAGUCUGGUUUGUUUAUAUAUAGGUAAAGAUGGCGACUCUUCAUCCCGACUUGAAUUUAAUUUACCUUAAAUUCUGAGGUCGGUUAAGGUAAAGUUUAAGUCAACAAAAAAAUGUUAAAUCGGACUAAACGUCGUAUUUUCUGUUAUAGUAUUAACGCCAGCAGAUGAAGAAAACCACAUUAACAAACAAGACUUCAAAGUCCCGUUCGUCUGUGGUGCACGAGAUUUGGGCGAGGCUUUACGAAGAAUUUCAGAGGGUGCCGCCAUGAUAAGAACAAAAGGAGAGGCCGGAACAGGCGACGUUUCACAAGCUGUAAAACACGCACGGACAAUUGGUAAACAAAUCAAAAUUGCUCAGGCAAUGGAUUCUACCGAAAUUUAUAACUACGCCAAAGAACUUCGAGUUCCGGUAGAGCUCCUCAAGAAAACAGCGGAACUUGGAAGACUUCCGGUCGUCAAUUUUGCCGCUGGUGGUCUAGCUACCCCUGCCGAUGUGUCAUUGCUGAUGCAACUAGGAGUAGACGGAGUCUUUGUAGGAUCAGGAAUCUUCAAAAGUAGCAACCCACCAGAGCGCGCACAGGCCAUGGCGCAAGCCGUCACACAUUACAAAGAUCCCGCCAUCUUGUCGGAGAUCAGCUCAGGUUUGGGUGAGGCCAUGUUUGGUACGCCUGCUGCCGACAUCGAGCCCAAAAAACGAUUGGCAGGAGCUCCCGACGAGCGUCAACAAAUAUGGAAUGCAACUCUUGGUGUAAAAUGACCCCAUCACAAGAUAUUUUGAAGCCUUUGGAUAACAAUGACAAUAGAAGUGGUGUUAUGAAACUUGCGCCGAUAGUUAAGAUGGACACAAACAUCGUUAUGAGCAAUGAUUCUAUUAAUGUUAAUCAAAUUGAUAUCCUGCCAGCAGAGGUACACACCUACAUGUAUGGUGGUCAAUUAUAGAAAAUGUCUGGAGUUUUUUUUUCAUUAAAAGAAAUGUUGU